rnacentral:rRNA from 1 species
UACGUAGGGACCAAGCGUUGUUCGGAUUUACUGGGCGUAAAGGGCGCGUAGGCGGAGACAUAAGUUAUGAGUGAAAUACCCGGGCUUAACCUGGGAAUGGCUUAUAAGACUGUGUGACUAGAGUAAGGUAGAGGAGAGUAGAAUUCCCGGUGUAGCGGUGAAAUGCGUAGAUAUCGGGAAGAAUACCGGUGGCGAAGGCGGCUCUCUGGACCUAUACUGACGCUGAGGCGCGAAAGCGUGGGGAGCAAACAGG